AUACUUACGUGACAGUGAGGAUAUGAUUAUCACAAAGAUGAUUUUUCCAGAGAGAGGCUUAUUCACUGCACUCCACAUAUGCUGAUCCCUGUAAUUUACCUGAAUUUGGGAAACUCAACUGCACAAUAUGAGGUAGUAUGGGACUAUGUGUCUGUU